UACGUAGGGGGGCAAGCGUUGUUCGGAUUCAUUGGGCGUAAAGGGUGUGUAGGUGGCGCCGUAAGUCGGGUGUGAAAUUUCGGAGCUUAACUCCGAAACUGCAUUCGAUACUGCGGUGCUUGAGGACUGGAGAGGAGACUGGAAUUCAUGGUGUAGCAGUGAAAUGCGUAGAGAUCAUGAGGAAGACCAGUGGCGAAGGCGGGUCUCUGGACAGUUCCUGACACUGAGACACGAAGGCCAGGGGAGCAAACGGG
rnacentral:rRNA from 1 species